rnacentral:rRNA from 1 species
AAAAAAGGUAAGCUACUAAGAGCAAAUGGUGGAUGCCUUGGCUAGUAGAGGCGAUGAAAGACGUGCCAGGCUGCGAUAAGUCUCGGGGAGCCGUCAAGGGGCUUUGAUCCGGGAAUUUCUGAAUGGGGCAACCCAGUAUAUAGUGAUAUAUACUACCGCAAUGCGGAGCUAACGUUGGGAAUUGAAACAUCUUAGUACCAACAGGAAAAGAAAUCAAAAGAGAUUACGCUAGUAGCGGCGAGCGAACGCGUAAGAGGGCAAACCGUUAGUUUACUAACGGGGUUGUAGGACUGCAACAUAGACUUAAACAAACUAAUAGAAUAACCUGGAAAGGUUGACCAUAGAGGGUGAUAGUCCCGUAUAUGAAAGUGCGUUUAUACUUAGCAGUAUCCUGAGUAGGGCGGGACACGUGAAAUCCUGUCUGAAGCUGGGGAGACCACUCUCCAACCCUAAAUACUACUACUAGACCGAUAGUGCACAAGUACCGUGAGGGAAAGGUGAAAAGAACUGAGGUGAUCAGAGUGAAAUAGAACCUGAAACCAUUUGCUUACAAUCAUUCAGAGCACGAUUCUUUAUGACGUGUGAUGGACUGCCUUUUGCAUAAUGAGCCUGCGAGUUGUGGUGUCUGGCGAGGUUAAGGAAACCCGGAGCCGUAGCGAAAGCGAGUCUUAAUAGGGCGUAUAGUCAGAUGCUGCAGACCCGAAACGAUGUGAUCUAUCCAUGAGCAGGUUGAAACUGGUGUAAGAGCCAGCGGAGGACCGAACAGACGGCCGUUGAAAAGGCUCCUGAUGACUUGUGGAUAGGGGUGAAAGGCCAAUCAAACAUCGUGAUAGCUGGUUCUCUCCGAAAUAUAUUUAGGUAUAGCGUUGUGUCGUAAUUAUAAGGGGUAGAGCACUGAAUGGGCUAGGGCAUAUACCAAUGUACCAAACCCUAUCAAACUCCGAAUACUUAUAAUGUAAUCACAGCAGUCAGGCGGCGAGUGAUAAAAUCCGUCGUCAAGAGGGGAACAACCCAGACUAACAGCUAAGGUCCCUAAAUCUCAUUUAAGUGGAAAACGAUGUGGAGUUACUGAAACAACCAGGAGGUUGGCUUAGAAGCAGCCAUCCUUUAAAGAAAGCGUAAUAGCUCACUGGUCUAGUGAUUCUGCGCGGAAAAUAUAACGGGGCUAAAAUGAGUACCGAAGCUUUAGACUUGCACUUAAUUCUAA